rnacentral:rRNA from 1 species
GACGAACGCUGGCGGCGUGCCUAAUACAUGCAAGUAGAACGCUGAAGGAGGAGCUUGCUUCUCUGGAUGAGUUGCGAACGGGUGAGUAACGCGUAGGUAACCUGCCUGGUAGCGGGGGAUAACUAUUGGAAACGAUAGCUAAUACCGCAUAAGAGUAGAUGUUGCAUGACAUUUGCUUAAAAGGUGCAAUUGCAUCGCUACCAGAUGGACCUGCGUUGUAUUAGCUAGUUGGUGAGGUAACGGCUCACCAAGGCGACGAUACAUAGCCGACCGGAGAGGGGGGUCGGCCACCCUGGGACUGAGACACGGCCCAGACGCCUACGGGAGGCAGCAGUAGGGAAUCUGCGGCAAUGGGCGGAAGUCUGACCGAGCAACGCCGCGUGAGUGAAGAAGGGUGUCGGAUCGUAAAGCUCUGUUGUAAGAGAAGAACGAGUGUGAGAGUGGAAAGUUCACACUGUGACGGUAUCUUACCAGAAAGGGACGGCUAACUACGUG